rnacentral:lncRNA from 1 species
CGGCGCCGUGCAUAGCCUUCUCGCCACCGCUAUACCCCACGCUAGUGCCCGGAUCGACUGCUUCGCCAUGAUCGAUCAAUCACUGGUUCUAGGGUUUAAAGAGGGUUGGAAAAACCCGUAAAAUGGAGUGGGGUUUUCACCCGGAAUAGCUACGCGUUUGUUUUAGCUAUCAUGGACCGGCACUCCGGUCAAUCAGGACCGUUGAUUAGUGCAUAACUUUUGAGCCAGGCCCGACUCAAAUGGCUGAGCCGUCUGGGGGCUGAGAGAG